rnacentral:rRNA from 1 species
GACGAACGCUGGCGGCGUGCUUAACACAUGCAAGUCGAACGGAAAGGCCCUGCUUGCAGGGUACUCGAGUGGCGAACGGGUGAGUAACACGUGGGUGAUCUGCCCUGCACUUCGGGAUAAGCCUGGGAAACUGGGUCUAAUACCGGAUAGGAGCCAUUUUUAGUGUGAUGGUUGGAAAGUUUUUUCGGUGUAGGAUGAGCUCGCGGCCUAUCAGCUUGUUGGUGGGGUAAUGGCCUACCAAGGCGGCGACGGGUAGCCGGCCUGAGGGGGUGGACGGCCACAUUGGGACUGAGAUACGGCCCAGACGCCGACGGGAGGCAGCAGUGGGGAAUAUUGCACAAUGGGCGCCAGCCUGAUGCAGCGACGCCGCGUGGGGGAUGACGGCCUUCGGGUUGUAAACUCCUUUCGCUAGGGACGAAGCUUUUUGUGACGGUACCUAGAUAAGAAGCACCGGCUAACUACGUG